rnacentral:rRNA from 1 species
AGCGAACGCUGGCGGCAGGCUUAACACAUGCAAGUCGAGCGGGCAUCCUUGUGGUGUCAGCGGCAGACGGGUGAGUAACGCGUGGGAACGUGCCCUUCGGUUCGGAAUAACUCAGGGAAACUUGAGCUAAUACCGGAUACGUGCGAGAGCAGAAAGGUUUAUCUGCCGAAGGAUCGGCCCGCGUCUGAUUAGCCAGUUGGUGAGGUUACGGCUCACCAAGGCGACGAUCAGUAGCUGGUCUGAGAGGAUGAUCAGCCACACUGGGACUGAGACACGGCCCAGACUCCUACGGGAGGCAGCAGUGGGGAAUAUUGGACAAUGGGGGCAACCCUGAUCCAGCCAUGCCGCGUGAGUGAUGACGGCCUUAGGGUUGUAAAGCUCUUUUCUCCGGGACGAUAAUGACGGUACCGGAGGAAUAAGCCCCGGCUAACUUCGUG